GGGGCUGCGGCUUAGUGGUAGCACGUCUGCUCGGCACGCAGAGGGUCAAAGGUUCGAUCCCUGUCGUCUCCA
rnacentral:tRNA from 1 species